GAUGAACGCUGGCGGCGUGCCUAAUACAUGCAAGUCGAGCGAACAGAUGAGGAGCUUGCUCCUCUGACGUUAGCGGCGGACGGGUGAGUAACACGUGGAUAACCUACCUAUAAGACUGGGAUAAAUUCGGGAAACCGGAGCUAAUACCGGAUAAUAUAUUGAACCGCAUGGUUCAAUAGUGAAAGACGGUUUUGCUGUCACUUAUAGAUGGAUCCGCGCCGCAUUAGCUAGUUGGUAAGGUAACGGCUUACCAAGGCGACGAUGCGUAGCCGACCUGAGAGGGUGAUCGGCCACACUGGAACUUAGCCACGGUCCAGACUCCUACGGGAGGCAGCAGUAGGGAAACUUCCGCAAUGGGCGAAAGCCUGACGGAGCAACGCCGCGUGAGUGAUGAAGGUCUUCGGAUCGUAAAACUCUGUUAUUAGGGAAGAACAAAUGUGUAAGUAACUAUGCACGUCUUGACGAUACCUAAUCAGAAAGCCACGGCUAACUACGUG
rnacentral:rRNA from 1 species